rnacentral:rRNA from 1 species
UAAUUAAUUGCCUUUUAAUUGGGGGCUUGUUUGAAUGGUUUGACGAGAUAGAGAUGAAUAUUUAAUAUUUACUUGAAUUUAAUUUUGAGGGCACAGAUUCCUCAGUUAUUAAUUAGACGGAAAGACCCUGGGAUCUUGUGAUUUUGCUUGGGGCAAGUUUGGUUAUUGUAAUUAAAUUUUGACCUCAUAAUGGUUUAUUGGAUUAAGUUACCCCAGGGAUAACAGUGUAAUGAUUAAUAAGAGAUCAUAUCUAGUUAAUUGUUUGCCACCUCGAUGUUGACUUAGGUUGUAGCCCAGGUGUAGGAGUUUGGGUUUUGGGUCUGUUCGACCUUUUGA